AUUGAACGCUGGCGGCAUGCCUUACACAUGCAAGUCGAACGGCAGCACGGGAGCAAUCCUGGUGGCGAGUGGCGAACGGGUGAGUAAUAUAUCGGAACGUGCCCAGUCGUGGGGGAUAACGUAGCGAAAGCUACGCUAAUACCGCAUACGAUCUAAGGAUGAAAGCGGGGGAUCGCAAGACCUCGCGCGAUUGGAGCGGCCGAUAUCAGAUUAGGUAGUUGGUGAGGUAAAGGCUCACCAAGCCAACGAUCUGUAGCUGGUCUGAGAGGACGACCAGCCACACUGGAACUGAGACACGGUCCAGACUCCUACGGGAGGCAGCAGUGGGGAAUUUUGGACAAUGGACGCAAGUCUGAUCCAGCAAUGCCGCGUGCAGGAUGAAGGCCUUCGGGUU
rnacentral:rRNA from 1 species